GCCUUACCCUGGCCUUGUUAGGCUUGUUCACCUGAUGCUGCUGCCCAGACUGGUGCUGAGUGCCAGGUGUGACAGGGCAGUAAAGAUGGCACAAUGGCAGAACCCUCAAAAAUUGGGGCACUGGCUCAAAACAGAGCCCCAGACCUUUGCACACCCUGCUUUUGGAGAAGUGGGAACCUUGAGAGAGGAGAAAAUUUGCUUCAAGACUAGCAAAGAAAUCAAGAAGUGGUGCAAAGCAGAAGAAGAGUUGAGCAGCAGCUGAUGUGCUUGGGGAAUUAGGUGCCCUCUGAGCCUGUGCCUGUCCACUACUGCCUUGAAACCCAGCCAGUGCACAUAUAAGAUGUGGAAAAACAUCCAAGCAGCAUUUCUGCAAUCCUUGGAAGUUCUCUAACUCCAGUCCUCUCUGGAGCUCGCCCUGGUGAGACAGGAGGACCAUUGGUGCUGUGGCUCUGUGGGGUGGAGAACAACUUGGAGCUGCCCAGGCAGAAGGGAAGGACUGCAGAGUCCAGCCCAUCCAGGCUGGGAGUGAGGUGUGGGGGGUCAGACCAUGGAGAAUGGGUUUGAAAGGAAUCCUGAAAGCACUUCUGUGAUACUCACUCAGAGGGCAGGGAAAUCAGCUGAAGCGCUGGAACAGAGUGGUCCCUGUAACUGAAUGCGUGCUUAGCCCACGGCUCACCAAGACAAAGCUGCUGUAGAGCAUCAGUGACAAUUCGUGUGGAUGAAAGCCAGGCCUGGCUGCCCAGGGAUUGAGUUUGAGCAUUUUUCAUUUAGCACUGUGUGGAUAUGCCUCUGUGUGUGUGUGUGUCUCAGCCUGAUUACAGGCACAACCCUGUGUUUGCAGGAAAAACAGCUCGUGCACCCCACAUGCCAGAAAUCCAGCAUCCCGAGGGACAGCUCCUCCUAAUCCCCCCCCUGUGCAUCAUAGCAGACCUCCUGUCACCAUCAGCCAUUCUUCUAUCACAAAUCAUUCAAUAAUCAAGGUUUUUUUACCUCCUUUCUUAACGCCUGAGCAAGCUCCCGGAAGCGCUCUGCUUUGGGAGUUCAGGCUUUAAUAGCUGGCACCUUCUGGCUGCACACCUUGCUCUGUACAGUACCUCUUGCUGUGAGCCAUCCUCUGCUCAUCUUAUGAUUUAUUCAGACAUUUAUUCAGAGAUGUUUAACGACAAUAAGCGCCCGUCUCUUCCAGCCUGCGUCAGGCGCCGUCAUCGUGGAGUUUUUCUGGCAGCAGAGACUGCGGAGGGCUCAGAAAGGAUGAUCACAUGCGUGACACAGCAUGGGAUGGAGCAGAUUUAACUGCUGGAUUCCCAAAUGGGGAGUGGUGAGAUCCAGUAAUGGCAGAAGCAUCCCGGCAGUGCCUGCACGCCCUUCACCUCCAGGUCAGCAGGAAUCGCUUUGCCAGCCUCGGCCACAAAGCACAGCACGCUGUGACACCCAGCAGCACUUUUCUGGUGAGGAAAGCUCAGAGGUUUAACCAGCUGAACACAAAUCUCCACUGGCAACUCGUGAAAUCUGCAUUUUCCCUCCCAUUCCGUGUCCAGGGAGACAGCACCCGGACUCUUCAGAAGCCUCCUACGGGUCACUGGGCACUCUGCAAUUAUAAAGCACUUUCUUCAGUCAGUCCAUUUAUUGUGCCAAGGGCAAGAUGAAGCUCCAGCUUUCCAUACUGAGCAUAAAACAUUAAACUCAGCAGGUUUGGGGUUGUUUUGUGAGGCUGCUGUAUGUCAGUGGUUUCAUCUAACUCCAGUGCAGCUCAGACAACUUUAUUCUUAUGUUUUUCUGGUCUUCAGGCCAAUGUUGUACUGCAGAGGCCUUUGCUCCCAGGUGUGGACCACUGAUGGCCACCAACACGGGGGUGUUUCACUGCUGGAAGGGUUCUGCCCUCUCGUGUUGUACAAUGGAUAGAAGUUGGCACAGCAGCAGCAGGUCGCCAGCUGGAGUCUCACAGGGCGCAGUGCAAGGACCAGCAGGGCCAGGGAUUUCACUGGGGACUGUCAGGACUUUCAAGAACACCUUCAGGACAGGUGAGAGCAGUGUAGGAAGGUUCAGAUGCUUGAUGCAUCCCUACACAGACUCAUGGCUUGCUUCCUCUGGCUAUUUCCAGGAUGCGGUGGGGGCUUCAGCCAUUGCCUCUAUGGCUGGGAAAAACCUCAAAAAAACCCCCAACCAACCAACCAUACAAAAAAUCAAAACAAACAAACAAAACCUAUAUUUACUGACCUAAAUAUAAAAUACGUAUGUAAUACAUCUCUAUAUGUUAAAUACACCCAUGUGUAUUAAAUACAUCUAUGGAUAAGGAUGUGCAGGCAGACCCUGAGUGCCACAGAGGAGUGGGGUCAGAGAGCUGUAGGUCAGUCCUGCUGUGCAGUUUCCUGUUGUUUUUAUGAACAGCUUUCUGAAUGCCUACAGGAGCCCUGCAGGCUCCAGCAGUUUUCUCCCCCAUGUUUGUUCAUCCCUGGCUGACCACGCUUGGCAGGCAACGUCAGAUGUGUUUGCUAAGGGAUUCCUGAAAAAAAAAAACCAAACCAAACAACCCAAAACUUGGUGGGUUUUUUUGUUUGUUUGUUUGUUUGUUUGUUUGUUUUUAAAUCAUUAAAAAUGUGGUUUUUUGAGUGUAGGUCUCUUUCCAAAGUGUCGCUGUGACUUAUGUCCUUUAUCCCAUAAAGGGAUUUUAAGUACACAAAUCCAAAUUAUGGCUUGGAAAUCCAUGUGUUCUCUGUGGUUUUGGUAGGAAGGAGUUUUUAGGGAGCUGAUCAUCUGACAAAGGAAGAGGAUUCUGAUUGUCCUUCAGUGGUGACCUAAUUCCAUCUACAAUUCACAUUUGGGACUGAUGACCUUCCAAAGAGGACCUGGCCUUGACCAGAGGCUGGGAACCAGGCUUGGAUAGGGGAUGCUCUCCAAACCCUUCUGCUCCUCUUCACGCUGAAUUCCCACCACAAUCCAGGGCUGGCAGGGACUGCUGGGGCCAGGAGCUUGCAAAGCACUGGAAAACUGCUGAGUGUGGCAGCAAGGUGCUCUUUGGGAAGGAUGGCCACAGAUGCUCAGAGCACCCAUUUCCCAACAGCAGCAUUGUCUUUUAGGCACUCGUCUGCACGGGUCUGGUGCCUUCAACCCCACCAUAAGGCAGAGGAAGAAUUGGGAAUGUUGGAAAUGUGAUCCAGACACAGCGGGAAGAGGAAACAGCUGAACACCUCCAUGAGGUGCUGCUGAGCUCAGCUCUUCCCUGGGAAAUCAGGCAGAUCCCCCCAUUUUUAUAGGCAUGAGGAAAUGACCUUCUCCUUCUGUUCAUGACCUUUUCCAUGUAGCUCAGCCAGGGCUGACUCCUCAUGCUGGGAUCUGAUGGUGAGGACCGUGCCUGGAGGAGAUGACACUUGGAUAGUUGGGGAAGCGCACCUCAAAAGUUUACUGGUCAUUGGUUCACCAAAAUCAAGUCUACAUCUGAUGUCAGAUAAAAAAGAUUAAAACAUUUGUUUCUUGAUUUAGAAAUAAAAAUUUCUUUGGGUUUUCUAUUUCCCAGUGUUCUUGCCAUCUUGAAAAAGUACCAAUGGGCCCCCAUUUAGAGGGACAAAAGAUGGUGAACAACAAGAAACUAAAUAUUUAACAAGAAAACAGUCUUUUUUUUGCCUAAACACAGAGCUGGAAGGGUAAAUUUAGAAUCUAAGCACUGUGUUGAAACAGACUCUGUUUCGUGGUUGCCUCUCCCCACAGUUUUUUUAUUCCCCAUUUAUCCCUGACAGGCAUGAGUGUGAAUCAUGGGAGAAGGAUGCCACUUGAGAGGGAACAGCCAAGGGUGACACUGUCACUGGUAACCUACAAAUUAUCCAUGGAGAAUUGCUGCUUCUUUAAUCCUAGACUCAAAGCCAGUCAGUGGGGGUUUUUGUUUGUUUGUUUGGAUGGAAGUUCCCAGGCUCUCCUGGGCCCUUUGGGGUUGUGUUUUGGGUGGGCACUGGCUUUGCUGCCCAUUCCCCACCUCUCAGGACACACUGCUGCCUCGCCAGUGAGACAUUUUCAUUAUUUUAUGUUACA